rnacentral:rRNA from 1 species
AUACGGAGGGUGCAAGCGUUGUUCGGAAUUACUGGGCGUAAAGCGCGCGCAGGCGGUUUGGUAAGUCAGAUGUGAAAGCCCAUGGCUCAACCAUGGAAGUGCAUUUGAAACUGUCAGACUUGAGUACUGGAGGGGAAAGUGGAAUUCCCGGUGUAGAGGUGAAAUUCGUAGAUAUCGGGAGGAAUACCGGUGGCGAAGGCGACUUUCUGGCUAGAUACUGACGCUGAGGCGCGAAAGCGUGGGGAGCAAACAGGAUUAGAAACCCGGGUAGUCC